GCUUGUGUGCGGAUUGGUAUGGGGUUCAAUACCUUUGGUUGGAGGCAUAUGGACUGUCCCGUGAGUUGAUUGCUUUUCGCGUUCAUGCACCUUUUUAACCUUCCACUGUUUCUGUUCUAUGAAAGCUCGAAACUCUUGUAGAGGACUAGGCAUCCCCAAGGGUAAAAGAAUGAAGGAAAUCAUCCUUGAAUUUGGAUGAUGGCUUAGUCGUGGAGUGAGAAUUUAGAGCUACCAAAGCCAUUGGCAUCCGCAUGAACGAGAUUAUUCCCUACCUCCAAUGCUUGUCCCUUCUCUCUUUCGUUUGAAGGAACCCCACCUCUGUGACGUCCACCAAGUGUUUGUGAAUUUGCCCAAUUGUAUCCAUUGCGUAAUUCACAGAUUUAAAUGUUUUGACUACUAGUUUUGUGAAAUUCUAUUCUCUCUUCUUUUAGUUAUUUUUCUAUUAUGUUGAUGCCCUGGUCAAUCUAGAUGGAUGAGUUUUAUUCCAUUUUCACUACUUGCAGACUCGUCCUGGAUGAGAAUUGUUCCUAUUGUGUUUGGGACACAAGUCUAGUAAGGACUUAAGUUCUUCACAGGUUUAAAAGUACCAAGUAUGGAUGGAAAGUUGAAGUUCACUCUUAAAAAUACUUAAGUGAAAGAAUCUAAUUGAGCCUAACAAAUCGCAAGAGAGGCACAUAGCAUGGGAGAAGUUUCCAUUUGUAUUUGGAAAUU
rnacentral:lncRNA from 1 species